rnacentral:rRNA from 1 species
GAUGAACGCUGGCGGCGUGCCUAAUACAUGCAAGUCGAGCGAACAGACGAGGAGCUUGCUCCUCUGACGUUAGCGGCGGACGGGUGAGUAACACGUGGAUAACCUACCUAUAAGACUGGGAUAACUUCGGGAAACCGGCGCUAAUACCGGAUAAUAUAUUGAACCGCAUGGUUCAAUAGUGAAAGACGGUUUUGCUGUCACUUAUAGAUGGAUCCGCGCCGCAUUAGCUAGUUGGUAAGGUAACGGCUUACCAAGGCAACGAGGCGUAGCCGACCUGAGAGGGUGAUCGGCCACACUGGAACUGAGACACGGUCCAGACUCCUACGGGAGGCAGCAGUAGGGAAUCGUCCGCAAUGGGCGAAAGCCUGACGGAGCGACGCCGCGUGAGUGAUGAAGGUCUUCGGAUCGUAAAACUCUGUUAUUAGGGAAGAACAAAUGUGUAAGUAACUAUGCACGUCUUGACGGUACCUAAUCAGAAAGCCACGGCUAACUACGUG